UCUCUCUCCUCGUGGACGAGCUGCACUUCCUCAGUUUCCUUCUCAGCGCGUCCCACCCCCUCCGCCUCCGCCUCCCCCAAAAAGCCUCGCCGGUCAUCUACCUCUGGCACGUCGCCUCCUCCAAGAGCCCCGCCAGUCGCAGCUGGUUCCGGACCGUUUGUGCUCGCGUUGGUCUCUCGGCAACUUCUGGGCCUCGGUCUCGUUCCCGAGCGGCGCCAGGCUCCCUGCCGUCGACCGGGUGCUGUCCCUGUCGCUGGCCCUAUCAGUCGCGAGGGAGAUCUCGGUAGACCUGGGCAGGGCCGACGGCGCGGCGAAGAAGGAGAGGCGCGGGCUAGAGGGCUGGAGAAGGAUUCCCGCUCGCUGUGGACGAGGUACGUGGACUGGCUACACCAGCACUAGAGCUAGGGCUUUUCCUUGGACUAGAGCCGAAUCGGGUUCACGAACGAGUUCGUGGAGAAGAUGGAGCCUCGGUUCCAGGCCGCGUUCAAGGCGAUGGAGGAGCUGGAGAAGGGCGCGAUCGCGAACCCGGCCUGGGCGAGGGCCGCAUGGUCGGGCACUACUGGUUGAGGAAGUCGGAACUUGUGCGGGUCGGAUUUUCCCGUGGGAUCCUCUGGCGCGACGGAGAUGGCCUUCUCUGGAUUCGUUGACUGAAUCUUCAUCGGCUGAUCAUGGCGACUCUUCCUCUUCCAAGGGAUGGAGGGACUUUUAAUGAAUUGGCAUGCCGAGAUGGCCGAGCAAGCUGCGUUGGUUGUUCAGCACGUCGAGCAAUGUCUGUUUUCCGAUUCGCUCGAGAUCAGGGACUACCUAAAAGCAAUCGAGCACUUGAGCUCUAUGCGACUCGGAUUCAAGGACGUCGAAAUGUUUCUGUUCAGGCCGGAAGUGAAUGUGCUACUGAACUUGGUUGGCUUGCAUUACUGCAUGCACUGGCUUGAAGUGCCAGUAAGCAACUGUUUACUUUUGGGCACCGAGGAAAGACGCACAUAACUGCCAAAUGGGCAUUUUGCUUUCAAUUACUGUCGUUGAGCAGACUUUGAUGUUUCGGCUUUGCUAGAAUGUGGUGUGUAGAACUUUUGAAUGGUGCUAAAAUGUCCCGAAACAAAAGCAGGAAUUUGUGUUUGUUAUGGCUGUAGCAUUUUCCUUCUCCUCUUACACUGGGGGAAAGAUCUCUUCAGCAAGUCAUCUCAUCUGUUGGGAAAAUGAAAGAUUGUGUAUAUGGUAUAAACCUUUCCUCGCAAAUAUUGUGCAUCACUCUAUGAGAGAACUUGCUUUUUGAAGAUUGUAUUUGUGUCAGUCUCAAAUUUUGUCAAUCUCGAAGUUGAUAUUUAUAGCUUGAUUGUUCGUCUGGCCUCUUAUUUAGCUACAUACUGCUAAAAAGAAGAAUGAUAAAUGAAAAUUUUAAAUUUGCAUACUAUACGUAAUGCCCUGCCUUUGAAUAUGAGUUACUUGGUUUUGAUUUGUGGAAUCGCACCAUGCAGAUGAACAGAUAUGGGCUAAUCAUAAUGGGAUUCUUUACUAAUUUGCAUGUUGAUUUCUGUUUUGUUAAGGGUAGAGGUCUCAUUCUGGCUUGUCAGUUAGGAAUAUCACUCUAUCAUUAUCCAAUGCAUUGAAUCAUGUCGCAGAGACUCCAGAGAUUGGUUGGAGUUUACUCCAUGGUGAAAUAAUCAUAGAAAUUUUGCAGGCUGAGUAUGUCAUGGAAGCGCUUCAGAAUAGCAAGAUCUCACAACAUCAAGUGAGUGUCAAAUGGUGGAAGCUCGGCAGGUUAUUCUAUGGCUUCCGAAUGCGAGACGAGUCUCAUUCUUGUUCAGUUUCCCUGCAAGAUCUAGCAUUGCCUCAGGAAAAUGAGGUCCUCAGCGUGCUUCAUUGAGGUGCCAUUCCUGAGGUCCUUCGUGUCCAAAUUUCUGUAUUCCAUUCUACUAGCACUCCCUGGUCUUUCCCAGAGCGCGCAAGUCUGUGAUCAAUGAUGAUUGAUAUAGACAUCUGGUUAUACCACAGAAGUAUGAUCAUGCUGGAAGUCAGUGGCUAUUAUCACAAGUUGUGGGUAUUAUUGGAUACCAUCCUGAAAGCAAUGGCAGAUUUUACAGUGAAGCCAGAAAGAUUUUCUGUGAUCAAGGAGAAGUUGACAAAAAGUUAUCAGAAUUUCAAGUUUGAUGAGCCAAGAUAUCAUGCCUCAUAUUAUCUCUCUUUAAUAUUAAAUGACCAUUCAUGGCCUUGGGAGGAAGAUCUAGAAAUACUUGAGACCCUUCAGCCUGAAGACCUUUCUCGGUUUGCACCUAGAAUGCUCUCAAGAGCAUUCUUAGAGUGUUACAUAGCAGGGAAUAUGGAGCAUGAUGAAGCAGAGUCAAUUGUUCAUCAUGUUGAAGAUGUUUUAAUGGUUCUCAUCCUAUACGCAAGCCUGUGCUCCAAUCCAGCUCAUGACAAGCAGACUCGUCACACUCGACGAGGGUUUAAGUUCCGUCUACUCAACUGAAGACCUAAACUCAAAUGAUGAGAAUUCUGCAUUGCUCCACAUUAUUCAGAUCCAUCAAGAUGACAUUACUUUGAAUGUACAACUUCAGCUUUUGGCUUUUAUUGCAUGGCAUGAAGCCUUCCACCAGCUCAGAACAGUUGAGCAACUUGGUUAUGUCUAUUUGGUCACACAUCGAUAUGACCUCGGUGUGCAUGGCCUGCAGUUCACUGUUCUGUCUGCUGUGAAGGUAUACCACAAGGUUCUCUGUGUUUUGACUGCCUCAUCACAUUUAACUCCUUCACUUUGUUAAUCUUAACGGGGUCCAAGGUACAUCGACACACGGGUCCAGAGCUUUCUUGAGUCUUUUGAAAGUAAACUCCUUAAGAUGAGUGAGGUUGAUUUCAAGGUCGCAACAUUAAGGAAGCUGGCAAAACAAGAAUUGAUAGCUUUCUUCAACGAGCACAUACGAAUUGGAGCGCAGGAAGGUGCUUAGUGUACGAGUUUAUGGGAGCAAGCAUACAUCAAAUUUUGAAGUGGAUAACAAUGAAGCAAUUGGACCAAACACAAUACGAAUAGAUAACAUUUUCAGCUUUAGGGCAUCGCAACCUCUUUACGGUUCACACAGAAGAGGGUAUGAACAUAUGGAAGUUCACAGCAGUUCUAAACAAGCUAGAAAUGAGGAUCUUGGAUAAUGUACUCCUGAAACAUUUCUCCAAAAUCUAUACUACCACGCCACACUUGCCCUGUGGCAUUUGUACCUUAUAGAGUUUUAGUGUUUGGUGUGUGUAAAUGACUAAAGGUAUUACUUGGAAUUUUACUA